AAUACUGAGCUACAACCUAACUUGCAUGCAUUAUGUUGAUGUGUUUAUAUAGUGCGCCACUGUGUAUCGGACAUCAUUAAAAUUAUUCUUACAAAGUAAUUAAAAACAGCUAAAUGAAACAGAUUGAGUAUGUGCGAAGAACGCAUUCACUCGGAGCCGCCGCAGCUGUGCCUCCAAGGGCUAAGGGUGAAGGGACAGGGGGUGCAGGGCAGGCCUCGCUGUCCUCUCUCCAUCUCUGCCCUGCCUGAGCCAGAAGAGCCCAUGUUUGUUUGAAUAAAGCCGCAGAGGAGCAGCCGUUGAGAAUCAGUUUCAGGCUCUGGACAAAGCCCCCCCAAAAGCCAAGAAUUCGGCCUCACAUAGGGAAUGGAUUUGAAGGCAUAUUUCUCAGGGUGGGAAUGGCUUUCUACUGACAUGCAGGAAGCUGCCCGCAAAUGGGAAAGUAUUUUUCCUGCAAGCUGGCGAAAGUUUCAGUAACCUGAUGCGCUCACAAAUCAAUCUGACCCAGCAUGGUUUUCUUCCCAUGGCUGUUUUUCUCAGAUGAUCAGGCCUCCUUACCACAUGGAUUUGAGUUUCCAAACAGGGCAGAAGCUGAGUGACUCAGCUGCAGCCAGCAGGCUUCUGCAUGUGCCUGGCUCUGGGGCGUGGGUCUGUGCUCCUCUGAGAAGGCCUGACAUCCGCACAAGGUGCUUUCUCUCACCCAGGAGGGCGACCUUUGGAAGACAGGAUCUCGUUCCCAGGAAUGAUUGUUCCCUCUGGGUUCAGGAAGGCCUGUGGAUGUUGAGACCCUCCUGCCUUUCGCUGAGUUUGGCAGACGAUCUGGCUUACUUUGAGUCCCCAGGGAACUUAAGAAAAGCAGCGAGGGGAGAGCAGAGAAGGGCUGCUAAAGCCUCAGCAAAUGGGGACACUGGGUCCUGGUUUGGCCUCAGCCUUCCAGAGGACAGCACGAGAAAAGAUAAAGAGCAGAUAGUUACUGAAUGAGGAAAAUCGAGUUUCUUCUCAAGCUGCCUGCAUUAUAUUCAACCCAUUGAAGUACAAAGUACUACAGCUGACGAGUCUGAGGUGCACCUCCUGCAACAGAGAGGCAGCAGCAAAACGGCCACGUCCAGGGGAGCAGAACCAGCACCCGGCAGUCUGGGGCAGUGUCUUCCUGUCCCAUUACUGUGAGUCUCAUGGAUGCUCUUGAAUUUCCAUUCAAUUCCCACCAGUGCUACCUCAUGUCUAAAGUGUUCCGGUGACCUAGCUAGCACAUCAUUCUUAUAGGAUAUUUUGGUUUUUUAUACUAUUACUCUCCAUUAAUGCCAGAUACUGACCAGGUCUUUUGCAAAUUUUUUUGCUUUUUUAAUUGUUUUUGAGUUACAAUAUAUGAGGAAAAUGCAAAAAAAAAAAGGUGAAUAUAAAAGAAAAGAAAACACAGGUCAAUCCCCUACUCUAAUCUAUUAGUCUAUUUUUCUUAGUCCUUUUCUACAUACUUUCGCACAGUUGAAAUCAUUUAACAUUAGCAUAUGAUGUUUUUUCUUUAGUCUCAUAUCGUACAAUAUUUCCAAAGUUUAAAAAGUCAAAAUAUAUGGCAUAUUCCAUCACAAUGCAUUGAUUGCUUAUUCAGUUAUUCUCCUAAAAGAGGGGGCUUCCUCGUUUUUUCUCUGCAAGGGAGGAGGAAGUGUUUAGGCAUGUGCAAUAGGAAAGGAAGCAAAGAUUGGGCCAAGGGACGCAAAGAGGGUGGGGACGAGAGAGCGGGGGUCAAGUUGCAGC
rnacentral:lncRNA from 1 species